rnacentral:ncRNA from 1 species
GAUAAAUUUUAUAUAGUUUAAAAAAUUUAUUUUAAAUUUAUUUUACAUAUAAAUUUUAGUGUUAAUAAAUAUUUAUUUUAAAAAUAUUAUUUAUUUAGUAGUAAUUAAUAUUAAAAAUUUAAGAAAUUAAGAUUUAGUAAUAUUAAAAUUAUUAACAAAUUUUGUGCCAGCAGUUGCGGUUAUACAAAAAUUAAAUUAAAUUUUAUUAGUUAUUUAAUAAUUAAUUUUUAUUUAAAUUAAAAUUAAAAUUAUUAGGUGAAAUUUUAAUUUUAUAUUAUUUUAUUUGAUUAAAUUUAUGAUUUAAUAAAUUUUAUUAUUAAACUAGGAUUAGAUACCCUAUUAUUAAAAAUUUAAAAUUAUAAUACUAAAAUAGUAAAUAAUUAUUUAUUGAAACUUAAAUAUUUUGGCGGUAUUUUAGUUUAUUUAGAGGAAUCUGUUUAUUAAUUGAUAGUCCACGAAUUAAUUUACUUAAUUUAUUAUUUUGUAUAUCGUUGUUAUAAAAAUAUUUUUUAAUAAUUAUAAUAUUUUAAAAUUAUGAAUAAAAAUUAAAUCAAAUCAAGAUGCAGAUUAUAAUUAAGAAUAUAAUGGAUUACAAUAAAUUUAUUUAAAUGAAUUUUAAUUUGUAAUAAUUAAAUAAAAGUGGAUUUAAAUGUAAUUUAAUUUAAUUUAAUUAAAUGAUUUAAAAUUAAAAUAUGUACAUAUUGCCCGUCGCUUUCAUAAAUAAAUUGAAAUAAGUCGUAACAAAGUAGAGGUACUGGAAAGUGUUUCUAGAAAGAA